UUUUUAAUUAAUACUUUUUAAAUAAUUAAAUAAUUUUUUUUAAGGUUUUAAUACAAUACUGUCAAAAGGGCCAACUUAGAUUGUUAAAUAUUUUACACAUUUCAAUGAUUAAUUUUAAUCAAAAAAUAUUUUGUGUUUUUAACACAAAAUGUUCACUAAAGAUAUAAAUUAAAACGGCUUUCAUGAUAAUAGAUAUUUAACAGCCUCAAGUUUAACUACUGCCCCAAGUUGGCCUAUUUGACAGUAUUAUUAAAUAAUUAUGAUUGAAAGUUUAACAUGACAAUGCAAUCUGUAUUGUUAACUACAAGAAUUACAAGAAUUUUAAUACAAUAAAUAUAGCUUGUACUAGUGUAUAAAUUAUUCAUAAUGCACCCGCGUUACAUAUUCACUCAAUGUAUUAAAAUUCCUGUAAAUCAAUAAUUAUAUAGUUUCUAGAAAGUUUCUUAUUCCUAAGCGACUUAUACAUAUAAAAAUAUAAAUUAAUGAUUGAUCAAUUAUUAAACAAGAAAAACAGCUAAGAGUAUGAAAUUAAUUCUUUAUAUUACAUCAAUGGAGUUUAUUUAAGAUAUUAAAAUAAUUAAUUGGGGACGUAAUUGAUGAUAAAUAAUUAAAUAGAAUAAUUAUACUAUAAAGUUGAUAUAUUUAGAAGUAAAUAAGAAAAGUUACAGAUAAUUUAAUCAUGGUGUUUAGGGUAAAAAAGUGAGUGAUUGAGACAUAUUGUAAUCAUGAAAAUAUAAUUGAUUAUGACCAAAUUUGAGACUGUAAAAAGAAUUUAUAUGAAAUCAAAAAAGUGGUUGAUUUAAGAACCAAGAAUGAUUUGGUAUAGCAUAGGAAAUUGAUUUAAAUCAAGUUGUAUUUCAAUAUAUGGUAGAAAACCACUUCCUAUCUUGUCAUACUUUAUUUAUUUGUUAUUUACUGUGAUCAGAUUUUUAUAUUAGGAGAAUUAACAUAUUUAACAUUCAAACUUAUGAUGGGGGUGGAAUGAACCACAUCAAAAAUUGUGUAAAAAUAAGGACUUAGUAUUUUUUAAGGUAAAAGUAGAAAAUCAUAAGAAGGAUCCAUAGUUGACUUUUAGACAAAUUAGAGAUUUAAAGAUAUAAAAAUCCUACCAAAUGCCAGAAAUUGAAAGAAGAUAAGACCAAUAUGUUAAAAAAGAACUAAGAUAAUCAAAGUGUGGCAUCUGUCAAAGUUUAUUGUCAAGCUUCAGUUUAAGGUAAGCAACACAGUAAAAAUGGUUUAAAUUAAUACUGUAAGGGAAAUAAUACUCUCUAGAUAAUUUACUUGUGAAAACAAUAAUCUUAAUUUUUUUUAAAGCAGAUUCAAAAAAACUCAUUGGAGGAAUAAUUAAUAGUUUAAAGGACAUAUUUUUCAAUGAUUAUUUCAACUCUAAAUACUCACUUUCAUAUGAUAUGGUCCUAAAACCAGCCAACCACAGAAUAUAAAACCAGCAUAUAACAACAUAGCACAUAAUAAAAAUCUAGAUGUAUUAGGAAAAGCUUGUCUUAAUGUGAGUAUAACACCCUAUGUAUAAUAAAGGAAAAAAAAAAUAUAUAUAACAUAGAAAAAUGAAAAAAAGAAAAUUAUCAAUUUCACAAAUAAUUACAUUAUAUGUCUUGAAAAAUGUUAAGUAUCUUAAAACUCCAAACCAAACUAAUAAAUUUCCUGUUCCCAACAGUACACUACAUAAAUUCCAUUGAUCGCCAAUAAAUUGCUGCAAUAAAAAUAUAUAAGGGUUAUAAAUAUUUAAUCAAACUCAAGAGAAUAACAAUAUUCAUACUUUUUUUUCAAUUCUUUCUUUUAUAGUAGAACCACAAAUAAUGAGAAUGUCAUUAAUGAUGAUCAUGAUAUACCAUAAAUUCCAAAAUGCCCAUCGCCCACUAUAACUUAAUGUAGACUUUAACAUGUCUUCAAAAUACUUAACAGUUUCCUAAAAUAUAAAAUUUUCAACAAACAUUAUACUUUGAUAAUUACUUCAAAUAAUACAGAAUAAUGCUUACAUAUUUCAAUAACUGAGCACGAAAUAUUGCUCUACAGCAAAGUAUCAUAGAUAUUGUACAAGUAAUUAUUACAAAAUAAUUUAAUAGACUUCUUAGAAAUGACUCCAUUUUAUUAUCAGCUGCAAAACAUUUAUUUAUUUAUUAUUUAUUAUCCAGAAAAAUACCUUGCUCUAAUAACAGUUAUGGAAAUGAACAUAGAAGGAAGAACAAAAAAGAGGUGGUUGGAUGCAAUUGGUAGGACUACUGAUGUAUAUAUAGAUGAGAUGGAAAAUUGUGUCAAGUGGAAGUGUAGGAUAUGGGUGACCACCUAAAUUAAUUGGGAUAAAGACAGGGAAAAAAAAAAACCCAGCACAGGGGGGUCGCGG